rnacentral:lncRNA from 1 species
GGUGAGUGGAGUGACGGCGGAAUCGGAGACUGGACUUUUUUUGGGGGGGAAUAGGAAGAGACUGAACUGGAGUACACGAUGAGAGAGCGAGAUAUUUAAUUUCUAGAUGUAUCAAAUUUGUCAAAAUAUUGAUGUAUCUAUGUUCAAAAAACAUCUAGAUACAUGUAAUAUUUCGACAAGUAAUAUGGAUCGGAGGGCGUAAAUAUAAGCUAACGAAUCAGAGAUGCUGAAUUUAAAUCGUCCGUGUAAAAUCUUAGAGCACAAAACAUAUAAAAAUGUUGAGGAAUCAACUUAUCUUUAAUAAAAAUUUAGACGACUUAUGGAGGGCCACAAAUUUUACGGGAAGUUUGACAAACGACGGUUAAGAGAACGGUACAAACCGUGAAAACAAGUUCAAAAAAUUCUCAAAAAAAAUUACACGUUAAAAAUAAAAUAACCAAGUUAAAAAGGGCGACAAAACGGACAUACGCGACUGGAGAGGUUGGACAUGUGGUAGGCCGUGGCAACGCACGGGCAUUUCCACUAGUAAAACGAAAAAAGUUCAGGAUUGCUAGCGAGUUAAGUCCAUUUACCACCCAAACUAUCGGCUCUGGC